GAAAACAUAAAGAGGAAGUUGUUUUACAAUGGAGGACCGAGAAGAGAAACAAGAAUAUGACAGAAAAGAAAAUGACACCACCAGGGAAACAAGCGUUGUUGGUACAGGUCAGAAUGCUCAACAGCAAUCUACAGAAGAUAAAAAGAUUCGAGAUGAGAAAUUCUAUGAGGAUUUCUACAAUUUUGAAAAGGUAA